rnacentral:lncRNA from 1 species
CUCAUUAGAAAGCAAGUGUAUUUAUCUUCAAAGCCUGGGCAGAUUUAUGUUAACUGAACAGACGAGGCAUUUGGAAUGACUUCCACACGAUUCAGGUACCAGUUAAAACUGAUUUGGCCAGUUCGUGUACCCCACACCUGAUGUGCCAGCACAGAAGACUCUAAGAGGAAAACAUAGCAGCAAACACCAGAUCUGUCCUAAGUGAUGUCAGAGAAGGAAUAUAUUUGUGUGAACUGCACUGAUGGAACAAAUCUUUCUGGAAAAUUUGGGGCAUGAACUUGGAGUUGAAGA